GACGAACGCUGGCGGCGUGCUUAACACAUGCAAGUCGAACGGAAAGGCCUCUUUCGGGGGGUACUCGAGUGGCGAACGGGUGAGUAACACGUGAGUAACCUGCCCUUGACUUUGGGAUAACUUCGGGAAACUGGGGCUAAUACCGGAUAGGAGCUCCUGCUGCAUGGUGGGGGUUGGAAAGUUUCGGCGGUUGGGGAUGGACUCGCGGCUUAUCAGCUUGUUGGUGGGGUAGUGGCUUACCAAGGCCUUGACGGGUCGCCGGCCUGAGAGGGUGACCGGCCACAUUGGGACUGAGAUACGGCACAGACUCCUACGGGAGGCAGCAGUGGGGAAUAUUGCACAAUGGGUGGAAGCCUGAUGCAGCAACGCCGUGUGCGGGAUGACGGCCUUCGGGUUGUAAACCGCUUUCGCUCAUGACGAAGCUUUGUGUGACGGUAGUGGGAAAAGAAGCACCGGCUAACUACGU
rnacentral:rRNA from 1 species